AAUGUCGUUUAAAUAAAUUCGUUAUAUAUCCAGGUAUAAUCCAAUAAUUCACCAUUACUCGAUAUUCAUCGAAUUAAUGAAAAUCCAUCGUUACUCGAUAAUUCAUUGGACAAUAUGGCGAGGUGGAUCGAAAAAAAAGAAAAAGAAAAAAAAAAGAAGCUUUCAAGAAUUCACUGUACAUCGAUUACCAUGGAAAAACUAAGAAACUUUCCGAUUAAAUCUCUAAAAUAUUAUUCGUAAUCGAGUAUCGUGAUAAUGGUUGAAGAUCGUAUAAAAGAUAUACGUUUAACUGCAGUGUCGCUAUGCGUUGAUUCAGAAAAUUUUCAAGUUUAUUCGUAGGUUGGCCUCGCCGUAACGCAAAGAAGAGAAGGAAAAUAUUCCCCUCGUGUGGAUCUUCCUCGUUCAAAAGCAACCUGACUGACAGUGGCUUAUCGAGAUGAAAAUAUCUCUACGCGAAUGAUUAAAA